CAGAGCGUGGCUAAGAUAGAAAAGCAUUUCCCUUACACCGAAAAGACCUCCGUGCAAAUCGGAGCGCCCUGAC
rnacentral:tRNA from 1 species